UACGAAGGGGGCUAGCGUUGCUCGGAAUCACUGGGCGUAAAGCGCACGUAGGCGGCUUCUUAAGUCAGGGGUGAAAUCCUGGAGCUCAACUCCAGAACUGCCUUUGAUACUGAGGAGCUUGAGUCCGGGAGAGGUGAGUGGAACUGCGAGUGUAGAGGUGAAAUUCGUAGAUAUUCGCAAGAACACCAGUGGCGAAGGCGGCUCACUGGCCCGGUAUUGACGCUGAGGCGCGAAAGCUAGGGGAGCAAACGGG
rnacentral:rRNA from 1 species